GCAUUUUGUCCUGUCUUUGGUUUAACUGUCCAUGGGUUGGUAUUUGGAGGAUUCUGAGCUUUAAAAUCAGCAAGUUAGACUAAAGGUACGAGAGCGAACAGGCACUGGGUGUCGGCCAAGCAGACCAUCAUCAGCCGCGGCGGCCGUGCACCGGCCCCUGCGUACUCUACAGAGCCGGAUGGCGGCGCUGAAGCACCUGGCUCAGGUAAGUGCCACAUACUAGGCGCUCCCUCUCCCUAGAUACUUUGAGUCCUAGAGCCCCUUGAGGACUCCCGCUCAGCUCACAUCCUUAUGAAAAACUUAAUCCCUGUGUCCAGAACAGUGCCAAGCUCGUGGAUGGGAUCCGCAUUUCUCGUAACUAGUCUGAUGAGGCAUGGAAGAGUGGGACCAAGAGAAGAGUGAUUGACUGAUUUGUGUGGGCAGUAUCACGUUUGGCCACUUUAACCGGGAGCAUUCCAGCCUAAAAAAACGGCAAGGUGAGGUGCAUUAACUAUGCCCUCACUACGGAGGAGCCAGCGGGACUGAAUGGAAGAUAAAUGUAGCUAGAGGUUAUUCAAAAUAUUCCAAAAGCUGCACAGAGUUAGAGCGGGCUGGAAGAGAAUAAUAUGGAGCCCUCAGGAGAAUAAAGCUUUGUGCAACAUCCCGCAGCUGCUAUGACUCAGCACUAUGCAUAGUUUAGAGAUAAUUUAGAUAUAAAAGGUUAUGAAGAUUCAGGACUGGACAGGGGUCCAGGUCCAUGAAAACUUACCAUGGUCUUUGAUUCUUACAACUUUCUUCCCACAGGUUCCCAGAUCUACAGAAAAGGGUAUGGUCUGUAUACAGGUGAGUGUGGGGUGUUCUAGUAAGUUCACCAGUGUGGCCACACUUCUUGCCUCACGUUGGUAGUGGAAUUCAUUUUUGUGGGGGUUCUUAAGAAUGGAAUGUAACAUUUAGCAUGGAGGCAUAUCCCUGGAGUCUGAACACUAGAGAGGACCAAGGCACGUUCAAAGCCAGCCUGGGAUACAUGGUGAGACCCUAAGAAAGAAUGAGUGAUUGAUAAGAUAGCUCAGUUGGUAAAGGCACUUGCUACCAAGCCUGAGUACUUAAGUCAGUCCCCAGAACCUACAUGAUAAAGGGAGAGAACUGAUUCCUGAAAAUUGUGCCCUGCUUUUCUACUUGUACACUCACAUACAUAUGCAUACUGGGAGAAAAUAAAUAAAUAAAUAAAUAAAUAAAUAAAUAAAUAAAUAAAUACAAAAAGAGGGAGACUGAGAUUUCAAAACCCAGUAGUAUAGUGGGAAUGUCAGCCGCUGGCUAGUCACACAGAUCUACAACUCUGGGGAAAAUUAAGCAUGGAGACAUCCUGAUUGCUGAAGGCUGCUGUUUAUCCUUGAAUACGGGUGGAUUAGGAAACAGAAUCAGCUUUAUUUUAUUAUUUUAAUACUUUUAAAAUGUUAUCCCCCUUCCCAGUUUCCCCUCCACAAACCCCCUAUCCUAUCCCCCUCCUCUCUGCUUCUGUGAGGGAGCUCUCCCACCUCACUGCCUUAGCAUUCACCUGCUCUGGGACAUCAAGCCUCCAUAGAACCAAGGAUGCCAUUGAUGCCAAAUAAGGCCAUCCUCUGCUACAUAUCCAGCUGGAGUCAUGGGUCCCUCCAUAUGUACUCUUUGAUUGGUGGUUUAGUCCCUGGGAGCUCUAGGGUGUUAGGGAGUGUCCUGAAGGCUUUUUCUUAACUCCUUUGAUCAGGUGAUACUCCUUCCUGCCUCAGCCUCCUAAGUGCUUAUACAAUGAGAGUCUGCCAUCAUGGCCAAAAGGAAGCUGGUCUUGUUAGUAAUACCAUAAGCAUAACACCAUACACACACACACACACACACACACACACACACACACACACAUCGCACCAACAUUUAGGAAGGAUUCUUGAAGUGUCUGAAAAGUGAAGAGUUUCAUUCUAGGAAUUGAGAGCGCAAAGUGUUCAUCUGGGAGAAUCAGUGUAUCUGCAGAGGAGGCCCCUGUAGCUAGACUUUUUGGUAGAGCUUUGUUAGAGGAAACCUGUGACUGUUGAAGUGGCAUUAAAUGCCACAUGUAUGAUGGUGGCUAACACUGGAGCAAGGAACAGAGUCAGCCAGCAAGGCAUUAAGAGAGGAUGGCAGCUGCCUCUGACACUAGGAAGCCUCAAAAUUUGGGUAGUGAUGGAUCUUGCCUCCAUAUAUGAAGCUUUCUCUAGAUACCUCCUGCUAAGUAAUGCAGGAGCCCAAGGAGAUGCCUGUGGUAUAUGCUGUGGAGUUUGAGGUGGCUGUGGGAAUGAGCUGUUAUAAGAGAGGUGUGGACUAAGUGAAACACAUAGAGAUGGAAAAUGUUAGCAGGCCCUGCGACUUGGAUAACAGACACUUUCUUGGUUUUAUGGAGGAACCCUAGGAAAAUUGCAGAACAAAGUUGAUUGAUAAGCUUUCCAAAGUCUUUAAGUACAUGGAGAGGGACAUUUGAGUAGUGUUAUCUUUAAAUGUGUUUGGAAUUGUCUUGGGUUCAGGGUGUCCCACCCAGACACACCCAGACACACCCAGACACACACACACACACACACACACACACACACACACACACACAGAGACACUUUCUUUGGUUAACAGGCAUUUUGUACCCCUCCUACCAUUGCAGUAGGACUCCGUGACUUGAUUUGUGAGCAAAGAAUCAGCUGUAAUAGGGCCCUUGCUUUAGUGCUUUAGUGCAUGAAUGACUGUGGACUGGCUGGGAUAAGAGUGGGUACCACAGCUUCUGCUCUUGGUAGUAUAACAGGUACAGAAAGACCUACCACAUGCAAAGGGAAAUGGCUAUAUUUCAAAAAAAAAUAAAAAAUUACCACCUGUUGCUUAAAGCAAAAAGUCAUUU
rnacentral:lncRNA from 1 species